rnacentral:rRNA from 1 species
CCACGGGCGGCAGCAGUGGGGAAUAUUGGACAAUGGGCGAAAGCCUGAUCCAGCCAUGCCGCGUGUGUGAAGAAGGCCUUCGGGUUGUAAAGCACUUUCAGUGGGGAAGAAAGCCUUGGGGCUAAUACCCUCGAGGAAGGACAUCACCCACAGAAGAAGCACCGGCUAACUCCGUGCCAGCAGCCGCGGUAAUACGGAGGGUGCGAGCGUUAAUCGGAAUUACUGGGCGUAAAGCGCGCGUAGGCGGUCUGAUAAGCCGGUUGUGAAAGCCCCGGGCUCAACCUGGGAACGGCAUCCGGAACUGUCAGGCUAGAGUGCAGGAGAGGAAGGUAGAAUUCCCGGUGUAGCGGUGAAAUGCGUAGAGAUCGGGAGGAAUACCAGUGGCGAAGGCGGCCUUCUGGACUGACACUGACGCUGAGGUGCGAAAGCGUGGGUAGCAAACAGGAUUAGAUACCCUGUAGUC